rnacentral:ribozyme from 1 species
UGCCCAGCAACUCCUAUCCCUAUCUCCUCGUGGUACUGGUCGGUAAACGAGCAACCUUAGGGAAGAUCGAGUAGCCAACCCCGGUAGGAACUUUGGUGGUAUGCUGACAGGAAACG